rnacentral:rRNA from 1 species
AACACAUGCAAGUCGAACGAGGAAUGUUAAAGCUUGCUUUGACAUUCGAGUGGCGGACGGGUGAGUAACGCGUGAGGAACCUGUCUUCACAGGGGGAUAACGUCCGAAAGGGACGCUAAUACCGCAUGAGACCACAGUGCCGCAUGGCACAGGGGUCAAAGGAGAGAUCCGGUGAAAGGUGGCCUCGCGUCCCAUUAGGCAGUUGGCGGGGUAACGGCCCACCAAACCUGCGAUGGGUAGCCGACCUGAGAGGGUGAUCGGCCACAUUGGAACUGAGACACGGUCCAAACUCCUACGGGAGGCAGCAGUGGGGAAUAUUGGGCAAUGGGCGCAAAGCCUGACCCAGCAACGCCGCGUGAGGGAAGAAGGUUUUCGGAUUGUAAACCUCUGUCCCAGGAGACGAGGAAGAGACGGUAUCCUGGGAGGAAGCCCCGGCUAACUACGUGCCAGCCGCCGC